UGGGGAAUAUUGGACAAUGGGGGCAACCCUGAUCCAGCGAUGCCGCGUGUGUGAAGAAGGCCUGCGGGUUGUAAAGCACUUUCAGUUGGGAAGAGAAGCGACUUGUGAAGAAUGGGUCGUGGAGACGUUACUAAUAGAAGAAGCACCGGCUAACUCUGUGCCAGCAGCCGCGGUAAUACAGAGGGUGCGAGCGUUAAUCGGAGUGACUGGGCGUAAAGGGCGCGUAGGCGGUUAUAUUAGUCUGAUGUGAAAGACCUGGGCUUAACCUGGGAUAGGCAUUGGAAACGGUAUGACUAGAGUGUGGGAGAGGGAAGGGGAAUUUCCGGAGUAGCGGUGAAAUGCGUAGAUAUCGGAAAGAACACUAGUGGCGAAGGCGACUUUCUGGCACACAACUGACGCUGAGGCGCGAAAGCGUGGGUAGCGAACAG
rnacentral:rRNA from 1 species